rnacentral:rRNA from 1 species
GACGAACGCUGGCGGCGUGCUUAACACAUGCAAGUCGAACGGAAAGGCCCUGCUUUUGUGGGGUGCUCGAGUGGCGAACGGGUGAGUAACACGUGAGUAACCUGCCCUGGACUUUGGGAUAACUUCAGGAAACUGGGGCUAAUACCGGAUAGGAGCUCCUGCUGCAUGGUGGGGGGUGGAAAUUUUCGGCGGUUGGGGAUGGACUCGGGGCUUAUCAGCUUGUUGGUGGGGUAGUGGCUUACCAAAGCUGUGACGGGUAGCCGGUCUGAGGGGGUGACCGGCCACAGUGGGACAGAGACAGGGCCCAGACUCAUAGGGGAGGCAGCAGUGGGGAAUAUUGCACAAUGGGCGGAAGCCUGAUGCAGCAGCGCCGCGUGCGGGAUGACGGCUUUCGGGUUGUACACCGCUUUCGCCUGUGACGAAGCGUGAGUGACGGUAAUGGGUAAAGAAGCACCGGCUAACUACGUG